rnacentral:rRNA from 1 species
UGGGGAAUAUUGCACAAUGGGCGCAAGCCUGAUGCAGCCAUGCCGCGUGUAUGAAGAAGGCCUUCGGGUUGUAAAGUACUUUCAGCGGGGAGGAAGGUGUUGUGGUUAAUAACCACAGCAAUUGACGUUACCCGCAGAAGAAGCAACGGCUAACUCCGUGCCAGCAGCCGCGGUAAUACGGAGGGUGCAAGCGUUAAUCGGAAUUACUGGGCGUAAAGCGCACGCAGGCGGUCUGUCAAGUCGGAUGUGAAAUCCCCGGGCUCAACCUGGGAACUGCAUCCGAAACUGGCAGGCUUGAGUCUUGUAGAGGGGGGUAGAAUUCCAGGUGUAGCGGUGAAAUGCGUAGAGAUCUGGAGGAAUACCGGUGGCGAAGGCGGCCCCCUGGACAAAGACUGACGCUCAGGUGCGAAAGCGUGGGGAGCAAACA